rnacentral:rRNA from 1 species
CGCGUAGGUGGUGGUGAAAGUCUAUGGUGGAAUCUUAGGGCUUAACCCUAAAACUGCCUUGGAAACUUCAUUACUUGAGUCAGUGAGGGGAGGGUAGAAUUCCUGGUGUAGCGGUGAAAUGCGUAGAUAUCAGGAGGAAGGCCGGUGGCGAAGGCGGCCCUCUGGCGCUGAACUGACGCUGAGGCGCGAAAGCGUGGGUAGCAAACAGGAUUAGAUACCCUGGUAGUCCACGCCCUAAACGGUGGGUACUAGGUGUAGGGCUCGUAAGGGUUCUGUGCCGAAGGGAAACCAUUAAGUACCCCGCCUGGGGAGUACGGCCGCAAGGUUGAA